GAUGAACGCUGGCGGCGUGCCUAAUACAUGCAAGUCGAGCGAACGGACGAGAAGCUUGCUUCUCUGAUGUUAGCGGCGGACGGGUGAGUAACACGUGGAUAACCUACCUAUAAGACUGGGAUAACUUCGGGAAACCGGAGCUAAUACCGGAUAAUAUUUUGAACCGCAUGGUUCAAAAGUGAAAGACGGUCUUGCUGUCACUUAUAGAUGGAUCCGCGCUGCAUUAGCUAGUUGGUAAGGUAACGGCUUACCAAGGCAACGAUGCAUAGCCGACCUGAGAGGGUGAUCGGCCACACUGGAACUGAGACACGGUCCAGACUCCUACGGGAGGCAGCAGUAGGGAAUCUUCCGCAAUGGGCGAAAGCCUGACGGAGCAACGCCGCGUGAGUGACGAAGGUCUUCGGAUCGUAAAACUCUGUUAUUAGGGAAGAACAUAUGUGUAAGUAACUGUGCACAUCUUGACGGUACCUAAUCAGAAAGCCACGGCUAACUACGUGCCAGCAGCCGCGGUAAUACGUAGGUGGCAAGCGUUAUCCGGAAUUAUUGGGCGUAAAGCGCGCGUAGGCGGUUUUUUAAGUCUGAUGUGAAAGCCCACGGCUCAACCGUGGAGGGUCAUUGGAAACUGGAAAACUUGAGUGCAGAAGAGGAAAGUGGAAUUCCAUGUGUAGCGGUGAAAUGCGCAGAGAUAUGGAGGAACACCAGUGGCGAAGGCGACUUUCUGGUCUGUAACUGACGCUGAUGUGCGAAAGCGUGGGGAUCAAACAGGAUUAGAUACCCUGGUAGUCCACGCCGUAAACGAUGAGUGCUAAGUGUUAGGGGGUUUCCGCCCCUUAGUGCUGCAGCUAACGCAUUAAGCACUCCGCCUGGGGAGUACGACCGCAAGGUUGAAACUCAAAGGAAUUGACGGGGACCCGCACAAGCGGUGGAGCAUGUGGUUUAAUUCGAAGCAACGCGAAGAACCUUACCAAAUCUUGACAUCCUUUGACAACUCUAGAGAUAGAGCCUUCCCCUUCGGGGGACAAAGUGACAGGUGGUGCAUGGUUGUCGUCAGCUCGUGUCGUGAGAUGUUGGGUUAAGUCCCGCAACGAGCGCAACCCUUAAGCUUAGUUGCCAUCAUUAAGUUGGGCACUCUAAGUUGACUGCCGGUGACAAACCGGAGGAAGGUGGGGAUGACGUCAAAUCAUCAUGCCCCUUAUGAUUUGGGCUACACACGUGCUACAAUGGACAAUACAAAGGGCAGCGAAACCGCGAGGUCAAGCAAAUCCCAUAAAGUUGUUCUCAGUUCGGAUUGUAGUCUGCAACUCGACUACAUGAAGCUGGAAUCGCUAGUAAUCGUAGAUCAGCAUGCUACGGUGAAUACGUUCCCGGGUCU
rnacentral:rRNA from 1 species